rnacentral:lncRNA from 1 species
UUGCUUCUGAUGUCUUCUCUUACUGAAAGGAAUCGAAGGGCCGAGGAAUGUGUUUUUCGUUGAUGUCAACUUGCUGCAAAGGACCACACCUGCUUCUCGACCCAGGAACGUGGGAAAGGGAAAGGCAUGGCUUGUUUUGGUGGAGAUGGAGAUGCUGGUAACAGUGGAGGAAUGCCCUCCUUCUGAUUCACAGUGGGGAGGUGCUCUGGGCCCCUGCCACUGCCCAAGGACUUCAGCUUUUGGUUGUCCUGCUGAGAGGAUGCGGCAUUUGAGCAGUAGCUUCUGGAGCCCAGAGUGAAGCCCCACCCAGGCACCCUGACAGGACCACAGGAAUGCUCCCGGCACAGCAAGCAGGACUCUUGAGAAGCUCAGCCUCCACGCUCCUUGUAGAUGUUCAGUUCAAACUCCACAGUUUGUGUGACUCACUGAAGGGCUUGGUUUGGCUCUCGCUGACGAGUCUGUCAUCGGUGCCAGGAGCUGAGAACAGCCCCCUUCCUAUUUGAGGCUGGCCUGUCCAUGCGCACCCUUGGCCUCACAUCAGUGGAGGAUCACCCAUCCCUUCCUCGUGCUGGAAACCCAAUGGCUGUAUUCCAUAAGCCUGCAGGACUCUUGCUCUUCUCCUUAUUUAACUACACCAGCUUAGGAGUAGCCUACAUGCUCCAUCUUCAUUUCCUUACCCCAUCUACUCCACAGUCUACCAUUCUCUUGCUGAGGUUACUUACCUGGCCUCUUUCCUCUACACUCUUUUCCACACUCACUUGUCCAGGUGCACAUUAAUACCUACACCUGACUAUCCUACAGAUAACUCGAAUUCAAGAUGGUGGGGAAUAAACUCACCAUCUUACUCUAUAUGUCUGCCUGUCCUUCAG